rnacentral:rRNA from 1 species
AUUGAACGCUGGCGGCAGGCCUAACACAUGCAAGUCGAACGGGUGGCGGACGGAUUGUUUCGGUCCGUGAAAAUGCCUGAUGGAUGGGGAUAACUACUGGAAACGGUAACUAAUACCGCCUACAAUCGACUGUACCCAAAUGGGAUUAGCUAGGAGGUGGGGUAAAGGAUCACCAAGGCGACGAGCCCUAUCUGGUCUGAGAGGAUGACCAGCCACACUGGAACUGAGACACGGUCCAGACUCCUACGGGAGGCAGCAGUGGGGAAUAUUGUACAAGGGGCGCAAGCCUGAUGCAGCCAUGCCGCGUGUGUGAAGAAGGCCUUCGGGUUGUAAAGUACUUUUAGCGGGGAGGCGUUACCCGCAGAAGAAGCACCGACUAACUACGGGCCAGCAGCCGCGGUAAUAC